AGCAGCCGCGGUAAUUCCAGCUACAAUAGCGUAUAUUAAAGUUGUUGCAGUUAAAAAGCUCGUAGUUGAAUUUCGGGAUCAAAUUGUCAGUCGUACCUCGGUACGUACUGGCGCUAUUGGUUCCUCCCUUCUGAAGAACCGCGAUGUCAUUAAUUUGGUGUCGCGGGGAAUCAGGACUGUUACUUUGAAAAAAUUAGAGUGUUUAAAGCAGGCUCGCGCUUGAAUACAUUAGCAUAGAAUAAUGAAAUCGGACGUUUGAUUCUAUUUUGUUGGUUCUAUUUUGUUGGUUUCUAGGAUCGACGUAAUGAUUAAUAGGGAUAGUUGGGGACAUUAGUAUUCAAUUGUCAGAGGUGAAAUUCUUGGAUUUAUUGAAGACUAACUACUGCGAAAGCAUUUGCCAAGGAUGUUUUCAUUAAUAAAGAACGAAAGUUAGGGGAUCGAAGACGAUCAGAUACCAUCGUAGUCUUAACCAUAAACUAUGCCAACUAGGGAUUGGAUGAUGUUAAUUUUUUAAUGACUCAUUCGGCACCUUACG
rnacentral:rRNA from 1 species